CAUGGAGUGAUUUCAUGAGAAACUUUUUCUCAUGUAAUAAAUGAGGCGUAAAAAAAGGGAUAAGGUGCAAAGAUUGAUUGCCCAUUCAAAUUCAAACUUUAUUUUGAAUUUGAAUGGCCAACCAAUCAUCCUUAUCCAUUCAUAUGGCACAUUAAAGUGGGGCAUGGAGAGGGCUUGGCAUGAGAAAAUAAUUCAUGAGAAGUUUCUUCUCAUGAAUUCAAAUGGAUGCAAUGGAAGUGAGGUGGCGCAUGGAGAUUGGAUCAAGGUGGUUUAAUUAUUUAAACCAACCUAAUUGAACCAAAUAAGUUAGGUCCAAUUAGACUAAUUUAAACCCAACUAAAUUAGGCUUAAUUAGGCUCAAUAAAAUUCUAAUCAAAUCAGAAAUUGAUUAAGCCCAACCCCUGAUCAAAUCAUGGACCAAACCAUCUCGACGAUUAGGUCAACUCUUAACCUAAUCGGAUCAAACCCAACUGAAUCCAAUUCAAUUGGACUUGAUCCAAAAAUAAUUACUCAAUCAAAUUGAGUUAAUUAGUGACCAAAUCACUAAUUAAACCUCUCAUAAAUAUUGAGUCCAAAUCCGAUGGGCAAUCAGGCAUCAGAAUUCAUCGAUAUGUAACCCUGAUCGAAAAAUCCCAACCAGUGGGACUCUUGACCUCGGUACCCAUAAUGUGUGGAACUCAUGAUCAGAGAAUCCUGAUUCUCGAUUACUGAGUCUCAAACAUGUAGGAUUCUAAAUCAGCCAUCAGAUCAGAUAGAAACCUCUAAUGUGUGUGACCCCGCAGGUUCGAACCUAAGCCGGUAGCACAGGAACCAAUUUCUGUACUAAUCGAAGUGACCAUCUAGCAAUGGUACUCGAUAUCUGGAU
rnacentral:lncRNA from 1 species